CCUUUAGAACUAAAAAUUUUCUAAUACAUAAUUUUUUAAGGGUAAACUUUAAAUAUUAUACAUGUGGUUUCGUACUUUAUCACUUUAGUACUUUGUGAUUUAAAGUGUAUCAAGUUAGUGUCAUGUGGUUUCAUUUUUAUCUUUUCGUCAACUUCUCCGUUAAUAUUGCAUUAAAUUAUAUAUAUUUUAUUAAAUUAUAUAUAAAAAACUUCAGAUACCCCACCUAGGUUUAUCGAAUAUUCACUUUAGUACCUUUAAGUUUUAACUUUGUCACUGAUUAACAAAAAAAUUAGUGGUAUCGAUAGUAAAAAAGUAAAAAUAAAACCACAUAGCACUAAAUUGAUACACUUUAAACCACUGAAUACUAAAGUGGAAAAGUGUGAAAAACUACUAGGGUGGUAUUUGAAGCUUUCCUAUUUUUUAACUAUG
rnacentral:lncRNA from 1 species